CAGCAGCCGCGGUAAUACGAAGGUCCCAAGCGUUGUUCGGAAUCACUGGGCGUAAAGGGAGCGUAGGCGGCGUGGUAAGUCAGAUGUGAAAUCCCGGGGCUCAACCCCGGAACUGCAUCCGAUACUGUCAUGCUUGAGGGUUGGAGAGGUAGCUGGAAUUCUCGGUGUAGCAGUGAAAUGCGUGGAUAUCGAGAGGAACACUCGUGGCGAAGGCGAGCUACUGGACAACAUCUGACGCUGAGGCUCGAAGGCUAGGGUAGCGAAAGGGAUUAGAUACCCCAGUAGUCCCUGUCUCUUAUAU
rnacentral:rRNA from 1 species